GACGAACGCUGGCGGCGUGCCUAAUACAUGCAAGUAGAACGCUGAAGGAGGAGCUUGCUUCUCUGGAUGAGUUGCGAACGGGUGAGUAACGCGUAGGUAACCUGCCUGGUAGCGGGGGAUAACUAUUGGAAACGAUAGCUAAUACCGCAUAAGAGUAGAUGUUGCAUGACAUUUGCUUAAAAGGUGCAAUUGCAUCACUGCCAGAUGGACCUGCGUUGUAUUAGCUAGUUGGUGGGGUAACGGCUUACCAAGGCGACGAUACAUAGCCGACCUGAGAGGGUGAUCGGCCACACUGGGACUGAGACACGGCCCAGACUCCUACGGGAGGCAGCAGUAGGGAAUCUUCGGCAAUAGACGGAAGUCUGACCGAGCAACGCCGCGUGAGUGAAGAAGGUUGUCGGAUCGUAAAGCUCUGUUGUAAGAGAAGAACGAGUGUGAGAGUGGAAAGUUCACACUGUGACGGUAUCUUACCAGAAAGGGACGGCUAACUACGUG
rnacentral:rRNA from 1 species